rnacentral:tRNA from 1 species
AAUGGUUAAGUGUUUGGCUGCUAACCAAAAGGUUGGUGGUUCAAAUCUACCAGCCAUUC